CGAGCUUUACCUCCUGCUUUUCAUCUUGCUCUGACAAGAAGCACACACGCACUUGACUGUUAUUUGCCCGUCAAUGAAACUAGACAUGGUAUUAAAUGUUAAUAAGGGGAAGGAUCAAGCAGGAGAAACACUUUUGAAGCAGGAACACAGUAAGGAGCCCCAUUUUGUAUUCGAAGCGGCCGUGCUUUUGUGAGAGAAAAGGGAGGGGUGCAGUUUUGCAGUGUCCUUAAAGCAAGUCAAGAGUUCUGCCUCGCUCUGGAGAACAGAGGCGGUGUCCAGAGGAAGAUUAAAGUCUGCAGUAUUCUGGUAAAUGUCUGCAUCCCACUUACAAUUUGAGCCUUUAUAUCAAUAUACUGCUGUUCUAGACCGAAUGCCUUUACCAGGUCUAAUUUUACUUUAAAAUGAAGACUUCUGCAAAACAGGCAACACCUUGAGAGUAAUUCAAAUGUUGCUAGUUCUUUCUAGCAACGAUGAUAUUGUUUACAGAGGUCAAGAAAUACUGAUUCUCUCUCUGUACUUUUAUUUCCUUGGCUCACAGCAUGCGUGCCUACCUGCUUAGAGUCGUCAGAGAAUAUCGGACAACAACAUAAAGCAAACAGCACGAGAAAGUGUCUCAAAUAAAUGUUCACAAGAACACACUGCAGUCUUCAAAACUCCUCCAUGUGUGUGGCCACAUCAUAAAGGUUAACCCUCUCCAUCUAAUCAGACCCCUAAUGCAUUUGCUCCUUUCUUUAAUCCCGAAUUUGAAUUCCAUUAGCAGUUAGGAUUGUAUUUGUGGUAAUUACAGUGUUAAGGAGCUGAUUGUGUGUUUAUUGAUGAACUCAACCAAACCUUAAGUAACAGUGAUGGCAUUAUCACUUCAUUAUUCUGUAGAGGUGUUGUACCACAUUAUUAUUAUUAAUAAUAUUAUGAUUGUCUCAGCCUUGGGUUAGAAAGUAAUUCUGAUCAGGAGAAUACAUGCCUUAGUAAUCCAGUUUAAACUGGCUUGUUCUUAUACAGAGUAUGUGCAAUUAUACAAUAAACACUAGCAGUGUACUACAGUCAUGUUGAAUGUAAUCACACUCACUAUGUAUAAAAAUACUUUGCUCAUUUGAAUCUACUGUAGUGGCUGUAUUCACACCAUAAACAGGUUCACAGUGAACUUUAUGAAGCUGAAGCUUUUGCCAUUUACAGCACAAUCAAAAGCAACAAAGCUGUGAGAUUUUCUGCAUGUCUCUCAACCUUUACUUUUUCAUUUUUUUUGAUCAGCUCUCAAACAAAGCUCUUGGCAGCAACACUGCUUUUAAACACACUGUCCCCUUGUGUAUCAGCAUGUGUGUGGGGUCUCUGUGAAAAGAGAGCUGGGUCAAGAAUUCUGAAUAUAUCUCAUCUGCUGGAAGGAAUAAAGGCACAAUGCACAAGCUUUCAAGUGAACAUGCAGGUUUACUGUGUUGCAUACAAGGAAACAAACACCAUCCAUAUGUGUUCACUGUGUAAAUCCACACACGAAUAAACUCAUGAGUAGGCUGACCGACGGAGUACUGGUUAAUCAAAGAUCCCUUUGGUUGUCCAUUAGUGAACCAUUUUGAUCUCACUUAAUCUAGCUAAUAAUAGAGUUUUUCCUAUGGUUACUUUACUACUCUACACAGUUGUCUCUGUUUUGCCACCAGAACAGCUCUGAAUUUUCACGGCAUGGAUUACACAAGGCCUCUGACGGUGUGUUGUGUCAUCUGGCACCAAGGCGUUAGCACUAGUCCUGUAAGUUGUGAGGUGGGGCCUCCAUGGGUCAGACAUGUUUGUCCAGCACAUCCUCAGAUUAUUGAUCAGAUCGAGGUCUUGGGAAUUUGUCAACACCUUGAACUCCUUUUCAUGUUAAACAGUAGUUUAAGACAUCACAAUCUGGUGCUUGUCAAAGUCGCUCAGAUCCUUAAUCUUGCCCAUUUUUCCUGCUUGCAUCACAUCAAUUUUGAGAACUGACUGUUCCACUUUAUGCCUAAUAAAAUCCCACUCCUUGAUAGGUGCCAUUUUAACAAGUUAAUAAACGUUAUUUACUUCA